UCCACAGCUUUCUCCUCAGAUUGCUUUGGUGUUUUUUAUUUUAGGUGUUUGUUAUGUAUUUUUUUUAUUUGGUUGAGUGUUAUGUUAUGUAUUUUUUUUGUGUGAAUGUACAAAUUUGAAUUAUAUAAAUGAAGUAUUAAGUUUGUUCAUUUAAUUUGUUAUUUAAGUUUGUUCAUUACAUAAUAAACGUUACCUGUUUUAUUCACAAAAAUUGACUAUUAAAUAUUGAAAAUAACAAACAUAAAUAUUCACAAAAUUUGACUAUUUUUUUGUCAAAAAUAAAAGUAAACUGGACAACGACGAGGUCGUAAUCAAACCACUUCUCCAAAUUUGGACUUUACAGGCUAAGAAUAAUUUUUAAGCAUUGAGACAAUUAACACCGGUUCAGAUUGUUUUAACAUGACUUCAAUAAUUUUGACGUAUGCUUCAAGUGGUUAAACAACAGUUGGAAUUGAAAUAUAAGAACAAACCAAAGAAAAUGAUGCAUCAAGUUAUAAAUGCAAAUCUCGAUUUUCAUGUCUGCAUUCAAAACAAUGAACCUCCCUAAUUAUUAACUCCAAAAACAGCGAUAACAAAAUG
rnacentral:lncRNA from 1 species